AGUUGCCGGGCGCCGUGUUGGUGGAGCGCCAGGGCUGCUAAUGCUCCCCCCACUCUCUUCCUCUUUGGCUCCCUCUGUCUCUUUCUCCAGACACCUUGAGGAAUUCAACAACCCCUCCCCUACACACAGGCUUCUUCCAGAUGCCAUGUUGCAAGAUUUCCUCUGGAGAGGCCCUCUUGGCAAGGAACUGAUGUCUCUGGCCAGCAGCCAGCGAGGACCUAAGAUCUGUCAACAGCCAUGCAGAAGGGACAAUGAAUUGUGACCCGGAAAUUAAUCAGAUGAGACCUGAUGACUGAAGUACAUCACAGAGCUAGGAAGAGAGAUUACUAAGCAACACGGUGAGAGCUCCAUCCUCUGGGUAUUCAGCCAACUACAGAUCACUCAAAGGCAGACAUUCUGGGAUCUUCCAUUUAUCAAGCUGAACCAGAGUACAAGGCCAAAACCAGUGAAUGACAAAGCAACCCCAUGCCCAGCUUGAGUUUCCUCAGAGAGUUUGUCUUGUAGGAGUCAUUAGACACUAAUUUGAUUCUAUUUGCAUGUGAGUACCCUGCCGUUUGCCAAGCAGGGAGAGAAUCACACUUGAGAGCUAGUGCUCAGCUCAGUGUCUUCUCCACACCGUGCUAGUGGACCAAGAACAAGGUUAUAGGUGUGGCAAACAAACAAACAAACCCUGCCAAUGCUCUAAGUAUAUGUUUGAUGUAAUCUUAUUUCUCAUAAAAUUAAGAGAAUAAUAUUUUUAGGUGAUGCAGAGUAUGAGACUGUCAUUAGGUUACUCUGAAUCUCUUUCUCUCUCUUUAUGGUAAAAAUUAAGUUCCAUUAGGAAAAUUCUUCCUCCCCUUCCUUCCUCCCAUUGGUCUUUCCUCCUAAGAUCCAGGUAGCUCUGAGAAAGUUUGUUUCAUCUAUGCGUUGGCCUGGGAAUCCUCCUUUUGUUAAUCUACAGAAAUAAAAUCAUCUUAAAGAUAGAAAGCUUUUGUACAAAAAUGUCCUUCAUAGUGUUUUCUAUAUUAGCAAAAUGUUGUACAAAUAAUACAUAAUCUAACAUCUUAAAAAAGAGGAAAUGGUUAAAUAAAUUAUAGCACAAAAAUUCUGUGAGAUAUAUAGGCGAUGAUUAGAUGACAAUGUCAGGUCAGUUCAAUAAAUACAUGUUCAUUAGUUCCCAUAUGCCAGGUGCUGAAAUAGGCAUCUGUCUUAUAUGUAUACAUAUGUAACAAACCUGCACAUUGUGCACAUGUACCCUAGAACUUAAAGUAUAAUUUAAAAAUAUAUAUAUAUAAAGAAAGAUAAAUAAGACAUGGACCCCUAAAGGAAACUCACUAUUUUCAGAUUAUAAGAGAAAACAUUUGCAUAUAUUAAAUUGUAAAAGAACAAUA